UUUUUUUUUUUUUUGGCCCCUGGCUGCACCCACAGCAUUUAGAAGUUCCCGCGUUGGGGAGCAAAUUCAAGCCACAGCUGUGAGCUAUGCCACAAGUGGCAGCAAUGCCAGAUCCUUUAUCCCACUGCGCUGAGCUGGGAUCUGAACUCUGCCCCCACAGCCACCCGAGCAGCUGAAGUUGGAUUCCCAACUCACUGUGCCACAGCGGGAACUCCUUAAUGGGUCUUAAAGGACUGUGCCCUGGUGGAGAGGCAGGGAAGGACAGGCGGGAGAGAGGGUGAGUGGGUGGGAGAGUAGCUGCAGACAAAACUGCCUGCCAUUCCAGUAAACAAUGAAGGUUGCCUGCCAUCAAGCCAUCAGCCACUGCAGCCGCCCACAGAUGGUGCACCCUGAGGGGAAUUCAGGAUGGAGAAAAACAGGAUACUGGCCCUUGAUAGUUAAGAUGCAUAUCUAAAGAAUGAUUUCAGUGAGCCCAGAUUCUUACAUCUUCCCAUACAAAGAAAAGCUCUAAAAUCACUAACCCGAGAUGUCGUGUGUGUGUGUGUGAUAUGAUACAAGACAGACAGACAGGCAAGCACGGAGCUGAUGACCAAACUCACAUGUUUCUAUCCUAAUUGGCAAACAGCAUGCUUUUACCCAGAAGUCCAGGCACUUUUACCCCCUGACCUUCAUUGCUAGGCUGAGCCCAUUACGAGACUCAAUUUUUACUAAGGGGCUCCAGAGACCUGACUAUAAUUGCAAAAGUGAAAGGAGAUCUUUUGCUUCCAAAGGCCUCAGUGCAUCACCUCUCCCCAGAAGCUUCUUUCCCCAGGGUGUCAAGUCACAAACUUGGGUAAGCAGAUCUCAUGAAUUCCUUGAAAUACUACAAGAGCAAAGGGAACCCCAGCAAUCACCCAGUGCCCCCGGGCAGGCCAGCAGGCAGUGGGGUCUUGGUGUGGGGUGCGAGGCCGAAUGGAUUCAUUUUUGGCCUUUGUUCCCUUGGAUAAUGAGUGUGGUAAAGUAAGUGCUCUUAGAGUUCAGAAUUAUUACUCUUACCACAUAUUCCUCUGCAGUCCCUUCCCCAAUUGUCCUUUUCUUUCUUUACAACCUUUGCUUUGUGGGGGGGGGAGAUUCAUUUUCUCUAGGACAUGUGGCACUUUCUUGCGACUGUUUUAGAGAUCUGUAGGUCAGGGAUCAAUCCAUUACAUCAGUCUCCCAUGGAUGAAGUGAAAAUCAUUUAAAGCAUUCCGAUCAAACCAUAACAGUUAUAAUAAAUAGCAAAAUUGUGUACUGUGGGUCCUGCAUUGUUCUAAGCGCUUUGCCCACAUUCACCCCUGGAAUCUCCACACUAGUCUUUCGAGGUAGGUAUUGUUGUACCUACCAGAUGGGGAAACAGAGGCGCAAAGCAGUUAAGCAACAGUUGGAUAGUCAUCAAGUGAGAGAGUUUGGCUCCAAAAGGUCUCCUGAGCCAUUCCCGAGCAGGAAGAUGGGGAGCCGAGGGGAGUCCGGGACUGGUCACGCCUCUGCCCUGAUGGACGGGGCUGCCUCCACAUUCCUUCUAGUCCAGCUCCACCAGCAAGAGGCGAUGCAGGUUUUGUGGGGGUAACAGUUUAUGAGUAGGUAAUUUGGGUGCCCUGUUUAAAAAAACCCAAAGGUAUCUUCCUUCCAAAAAUUUUGCAAAACUGGAUGAUCAAAUGAAUAUGUUGCUACGGCACAGGCUGGCUCCGAGGCUGAGGCAUCGUAAGGUUCACGGUACCUCUCUCUCUGCGUUGA
ensembl:lncRNA